rnacentral:rRNA from 1 species
GACGAACGCUGGCGGCGCGCUUAACACAUGCAAGUCGAGCGAGAACCGGGGCUUCGGCCCCGGGGACAGCGGCGAACGGGUGAGUAACACGCGGGUAACCUGCCCUCGGCACCGGGAUAGCCCGGGGAAACCCGGAUUAAUACCGGACAGCCUCCGGAGCCUUCGGGCGCCGGAGAAAAGGUGGCUUCGGCUUCCGGCCGAGGAGGGGCCCGCGUCGCAGUAGCUAGUUGGUGAGGUAACGGCUCACCAAGGCGACGAUGCGUAGCCGACCUGAGAGGGUGAUCGGCCACAUUGGGACUGGGACACGGCCCAGACUCCUACGGGAGGCAGCAGUGGGGAAUAUUGCACAAUGGGGGAAACCCUGAUGCAGCAACGCCGCGUGAGUGAUGACGGUCUUCGGAUUGUAAAACUCUGUCUUCAGGGACGAUAAUGACGGUACCUGAGGAGGAAGCCACGGCUAACUACGUGCCAGCAGCCGCGGUAA